rnacentral:rRNA from 1 species
UACGUAGGCAGCGAGCGUUUGUUCGGAGUUACUGGGCGUAAAGGGUGUGUAGGCGGUUCUUUUAAGUUUGGUGUGAAAUCUCCCGGCUCAACCGGGAGGGUGCGCCGAAUACUGAGGGACUAGAGUAUGGGAUGGGAAAGUGGAAUUCCUGGUGUAGCGGUGAAAUGCGUAGAUAUCAGGAGGAACACCUGUGGUGUAGACGGCUUUCUGGACCAUAACUGACGCUGAGACACGAAAGCGUGGGUAGCAAACAGG